GUGAGUAACCUGCCCUUGACUCUGGGAUAAGCCUGGGAAACUGGGUCUAAUACUGGAUACUACCUCUUACCGCAUGGUGGGUGGUGGAAAGGGUUUUACUGGUUUUGGAUGGGCUCACGGCCUAUCAGCUUGUUGGUGGGGUAAUGGCUCACCAAGGCGACGACGGGUAGCCGGCCUGAGAGGGUGACCGGCCACACUGGGACUGAGACACGGCCCAGACUCCUACGGGAGGCAGCAGUGGGGAAUAUUGCACAAUGGGCGGAAGCCUGAUGCAGCGACGCCGCNUGAGGGAUGACGGCCUUCGGGUUGUAAACCUCUUUCAGUAGGGAAGAAGCGAGAGUGACGGUACCUGCAGAAGAAGCGCCGGCUAACUACGUGCCAGCAGCCGCGGUAAUACGUAGGGCGCAAGCGUUGUCCGGAAUUAUUGGGCGUAAAGAGCUCGUAGGCGGUUUGUCGCGUCUGCUGUGAAAGCCCGGGGCUCAACCCCGGGUCUGCAGUGGGUACGGGCAGACUAGAGUGCAGUAGGGGAGACUGGAAUUCCUGGUGUAGCGGUGAAAUGCGCAGAUAUCAGGAGGAACACCGAUGGCGAAGGCAGGUCUCUGGGCUGUUACUGACGCUG
rnacentral:rRNA from 1 species